UACGUAGGCAGCAAGCGUUGUUCGGAGUUACUGGGCGUAAAGGGUGCGUAGGCGGUCCUAUAAGUAUGGUGUGAAAUCUCCCGGCUUAACUGGGAGGGUGUGCUAUAGACUGUGGGACUAGAGUGUGGGAGAGGAAAGUGGAAUUCCUGGUGUAGCGGUGAAAUGCGUAGAUAUCAGGAGGAACACCGGUGGUGUAAACGGCUUUCUGGACCAUAACUGACGCUGAGGCACGAAAGCGUGGGUAGCAAACAGG
rnacentral:rRNA from 1 species